rnacentral:rRNA from 1 species
AGGGCACCACCAGGAGUGGAGCCUGCGGCUUAAUUUGACUCAACACGGGAAAUCUCACCAGGCCCGGACACCGGAAGGAUUGACAGAUUGAGAGCUCUUUCUUGAUUCGGUGGGUGGUGGUGCAUGGCCGUUCUUAGUUGGUGGAGCGAUUUGUCUGGUUAAUUCCGAUAACGAACGAGACUCUGGCCUACUAACUAGAUGGAGGAUCCCUUCGUGGGUUCUUCACUGCUUCUUAGAGGGACGGGCGGCGUUUAGCCGCACGAGAUUGAGCAAUAACAGGUCUGUGAUGCCCUUAGAUGUUCUGGGCUGCACGCGCGCUACACUGAAGGAAUCAGCGUGUCCUCCCCGCUCUGAAAAGAGUGGGUAACCCGUUGAAACUCCUUCGUGAUGGGGAUUGGAGAUUGUAAUUAUUCUCCAUGAACGAGGAAUUCCCAGUAGGCGCGAGUCAUCAGCUUGCGUCGAUUACGUCCCUGCCCUUUGUACACACCGCCCGUCGCUACUACCGAUCGAGUGAUUUAG